GACGAACGCUGGCGGCGUGCUUAACACAUGCAAGUCGAACGGAAAGGCCCUGCUUUUGUGGGGUGCUCGAGUGGCGAACGGGUGAGUAACACGUGAGUAACCUGCCCUUGACUUUGGGAUAACUUCAGGAAACUGGGGCUAAUACCGGAUAGGAGCUCCUGCUGCAUGGUGGGGGUUGGAAAGUUUCGGCGGUUGGGGAUGGACUCGCGGCUUAUCAGCUUGUCGGUGGGGUAGUGGCUUACCAAGGCUUUGACGGGUAGCCGGCCUGAGAGGGUGACCGGCCACAUUGGGACUGAGAUACGGCCCAGACUGCUACGGGAGGCAGCAGUGGGGAAUAUUGCACAAUGGGCGGAAGCCUGAUGCAGCAACGCCGCGUGCGGGAUGACGGCCUUCGGGUUGUAAACCGCUUUCGCCUGUGACGAAGCGUGAGUGACGGUAAUGGGUAAAGAAGCACCGGCUAACUACGUG
rnacentral:rRNA from 1 species